UACGUAUGGGGCAAGCGUUAUCCGGAUUCAUUGGGCGUAAAGCGCGCGUAGGCGGCUUGUUAAGUCAGAUGUGAAACCUGGGGGCUCAACCCCCAGCCUGCAUCUGAAACUGGCAGGCUUGAGUCUGGUAGAGGAAAGUGGAAUUCCUAGUGUAGCGGUGAAAUGCGCAGAUAUUAGGAGGAACACCAGUGGCGAAGGCGGCUUUCUGGGCCACGACUGACGCUGAUGCGCGAAAGCUAGGGGAG
rnacentral:rRNA from 1 species